GCCCGGUUAGCUCAAUCGGUAGAGCGUGAGACUCUUAAUCUCAAGGUUGCGGGUGAGUAGCAAUGAUAAACCACCAUGGCCACCACAACGAUACUAAUCCUGUGUGUCUAGGUUCGACCCCCGCAUCGGGCU